GAUGAACGCUGGCGGCGUGCCUAAUACAUGCAAGUCGAGCGAACGGACGAGAAGCUUGCUUCUCUGAUGUUAGCGGCGGACGGGUGAGUAACACGUGGAUAACCUACCUAUAAGACUGGGAUAACUUCGGGAAACCGGAGCUAAUACCGGAUAAUAUUUUGAACCGCAUGGUUCAAAAGUGAAAGACGGUCUUGCUGUCACUUAUAGAUGGAUCCGCGCUGCAUUAGCUAGUUGGUAAGGUAACGGCUUACCAAGACAACGAUGCAUAGCCGACCUGAGAGGGUGAUCGGCCACACUGGAACUGAGACACGGUCCAGACUCCUACGGGAGGCAGCAGUAGGGAAUCUUCCGCAAUGGGCGAAAGCCUGACGGAGCAACGCCGCGUGAGUGAUGAAGGUCUUCGGAUCGUAAAACUCUGUUAUUAGGGAAGAACAUAUGUGUAAGUAACUGUGCACAUCUUGACGGUACCUAAUCAGAAAGCCACGGCUAACUACGUG
rnacentral:rRNA from 1 species